rnacentral:rRNA from 1 species
AUUGAACGCUGGCGGCAGGCCUAACACAUGCAAGUCGAGCGGAGCGGCGGACGGGUGAGUAAUUCCUAUGAAUCUGCCUGGUAGUGGGGGAUAACGUCCGGAAACGGGCGCUAAUACCGCAUACUCUCAGAUGAGCCUAGGUCGGAUUGGCUAGUUGGUGGGGUAAAGGCCUACAAAGGCCACGAUCAGUAACUGGUCCGAGAGGAGGAUCAGUCACACUGGAACUGAGACAGGUUCCAGACUCCUAAGGGAGGCAGCAGUGGGGAAUAUUGGACAAUGGGCGAAAGCCUGAUCCAGCCAUGCCGCGUGUGUGAAGAAGGUCUUCGGAUUGUAAAGCACUUUAAGUUGGGAGGCGUUACCGACAGAAUAAGCACCGGCUAACUUCGUGCCAGCAGCCGCGGUAAUUC